CACGCUGUAAACGAUGUGUGCUAGAUGUCUGGUCCGUAGGGGCUGGGUGUCGCAGUUAACGCUUUAAGCACACCGCCUGGGGAGUACGGCCGCAAGGCUAAAACUCAAAGGAAUUGACGGGGGCCCGCACAAGCAGCGGAGCGUGUGGUUUAAUUCGAUGCAACGCGAAGAACCUUACCUGGGUUUGACAUGGACCUGCAAGGCCGCGAGAGCGGUUCGCCUACGAGGGUGGUUCACAGGUGC
rnacentral:rRNA from 1 species